GAUGAAGAACUUAGCGAAAUGCGAUAAGUAAUGUGAAUUGCAGAAUUCAGUGAAUCAUCGAAUCUUUGAACGCACAUUGCGCCCAUUAGUAUUCUAGUGGGCAUGCCUGUUCGAGCGUCAUUUCAACCCUCAAGCCUUAGUUGCUUGGUGUUGGGAGCUUAUCUUGCCGAAAGGCGGGACAACUCCUUAAAUUUAUCGGCGGAGUCGCGGUGACCCCAAGCGUAGUAAAUUAUUUUUUCCUCGCUUUAGGUGUUAACGCUGGCUUUUCUAGCCGUUAAACCCCCCCUAAUAUUUUAAUGGUUGACCUCGGAUCAGGUAGGACUACCCGCUGAACUUAAGCAUAUCAAUAAGCGGAGGA
rnacentral:misc_RNA from 1 species